GGAAGUUGAAAAGACUUGAAGAGAGAGUUCAGAGUACGUGAACCCGUCUAGAGGUAAACGGAUGGGACCGCAAUAGUCCGACCGCGGGAUUCAACCCUUGCGUCGCCCGGUAGUCGUAGGACGAAGUGAAUUGGACGCCCUCCUCGUUGGGGGCUAAAGGUUCUCGUCCGAAAGCUAAAGCACCGGUGCUAGCGGGGGUGCACUUUCCGCGGGAGGAGCGCUGCGACCGGUUCUUUCGGAGGUGAGAAGCGUGUGGGAAUAGUUUGGCCUCGACUCGAGUGUUCAGACCGGCGACUGGCCUAUUGGCGAGCCGAGGGACCACUUCGGUGGGAAGAUCUCGGUUUAGGAAACCUUUAGAUUGUAGCCAGGAAGACCCGGGAAGACGACACGCGGGGACGACGGGCCGUCAAACGACGGAAGGUAGCCGUGGACGAAAGACUCUUUAACCGGAGACCACCUCGUCCAUUCGGUGUUUACAGCCUCCCCGGUAACGCUGACCCUCUGUAGGAUCGAGGAACUUAGAUCACAUCGGCUCGCGUCUCCUACGGGAGGCGAGGGGACUCGGCCCAUGGUCUGGCGACGAUUGCUGCUGUAAGAAACGACACUGCAAAGAAACGGUCGCAGGCCUACAAGACAGAUGGGUCGUGUUUGAGACAACCUAAAGUCUCCCCCUCAGCGAGCCCUUGGGUCAGCAGCGAGUUUGUCGGCACCCUAUCCGACCCGUCUUGAAACACGGACCAAGGAGUCUAACAUGUGCGCGAGUCAUUGGGCGUCUACGAACCCCACAGGCGAAAUGAAGGUGAAAGGUGGGAUCCCGGUCAACCUCCUCUCUCCCCCGUGAGAGGGGGAAGGACACGGGCGCACCAUCGGCCCGUCUAUAGUUCCCUGGAUGUGGACAGGCGGUGCAGGAGCGUACACGUUGGGACCCGAAAGAUGGUGAACUAUGCCUGAGUAGGGCAAAGCCAGGGGAAACCCUGGUGGAGGCCCGACAGCGAAUCUGACGUGCAAAUCGAUCGUCAAACUUGGGUAUAGGGGCGAAAGACUAAUCGAACCAUCUAGUAGCUGGUUCCCUCCGAAGUUUCCCUCAGGAUAGCUGGCACUCAGGAAACUCAGUUUUAUCCGGUAAAGCAAAUGAUUAGAGGAAUUUGGGCCGAAACGGUUUGAACCUACUCUCAAACUUUAAAUGGGUAAGAGACCCGGGACUCUCCUGGUCGGAGUCCGGGCGACAGACGGAAUGUGAGUGUCUAGUGGGCCAUUUUUGGUAAGCAGAACUGGCGCUGUGGGAUGAACCAAACGCUCGGUUAAGGUGCCCAACGUAAAGCUCAUGAGAUACCAUGAAUGGUGUUGAUCGAUAUAGACAGCAGGACGGUGACCAUGGAAGUCGGUAUCCGCUAAGGAGUGUGUAACAACUCACCUGCCGAAUCGACCAGCCCUGAAAAUGGAUGGCGCUCGAGCGUUAGACCUAUACCGGGCCGUCGGGACAAUGCAUGCGAACGCCACUGGGGUUCCAAGUCCCGACGAGUAGGAGGGCGCCGAGGUGAGCGCUGAAGCUACGGGCGUGAGCCCGGGUGGAGCCGCCUCGGGUGCAGAUCUUGGUGGUAGUAGCAAAUAUUCAAACGAGAACUUUGAAGACUGAAGUGGAGAAGGGUUCCAUGUGAACAGCAAUUGAACAUGGGUCAGUCGGUCCUAAGCUAUACGGGAACCUCUGUUCCGAGAUACAGGCCUAGUGCUUGAGGCGAGGGUUAAAGACAAGAACCGCUCGAUUACGACUAGUUUGCUAUGCGAAAGGGAAUCGGGUUAAUAUUCCUGAACCUGAACACGGGGAAGGUCCCCUCGGGGACGAGCGCGGUAACGCAAACGAACCAGGAGACGCUGGCGGGAGUCCCGGGUAGAGUUCUCUUUUCUAUUUAAGGGUCGAAGUCCAUGGAAGUUGGUUGACAAGAGAAAUGGAUCAAGUACCCGUACAGCACCGCGCCUCCUGCGGUGUCCGGAGCACUCUCGUCGGCCCUUGAAAAUCCUGGGGAGGCAGUGUUAUCUUCGUGUCAGGCCGUACCGAUAUCCGCAGCAGGUCUCCAAGGUGAACAGCCUCUAGUGAUAGAAUAAUGUAGGUAAGGGAAGUCGGCAUAAUGGAUCCGUAACUUCGGGACAAGGAUUGGCUCUAAGGGCUGAGCCGGUCGGGCCCGUCCGAGAUGCAAGGAUUGGAACCGUGACGAGUUUACGGCGUAGCUCGCGUUACAAAGGUCGCUGACCGAUGCGCCUCUGGCUGGGGGUGGAGAUCGCCUUUUAAGUCUGCUUGAUUGUGGACUUGGGGUCAGUAACCGCCUCUGACAGGGGGUCAGUAUCGGGACGAAGGACCAAGUGAGCGAACCCGUCAGUGACCGGGGCCGUUCUCGCGGACCGCUCGGGCCUUGCGGUCGUGGGUAACAUUACCUCUGGAGAGGGGCUUGAAAGGGCUUCGGCCGUUUUAAAGUUUCCCUCGACGGGGGUACCGCGGCGUCAGCUUCGACCGGCAAGGAACAGCCGGCUUAGAACUAGCAUGAUCCGGGGGAAUCCGACUGUCUAAUUAAAACAUAGCAUUCUGAGGGUUCGUGACGGAUGUUGACAGAAUGUGAUUUCUGCCCAGUGCUCUGAAUGUCAAAGUGAAGAAAUUCACCCAAGCGCGGGUAAACGGCGGGAGUAACUAUGACUCUUUUAAGGUAGCCAAAUGCCUCUCAUCAU
rnacentral:rRNA from 1 species